rnacentral:rRNA from 1 species
AGGACGAACGCUGGCGGCGUGCCUAACACAUGCAAGUCGAGCGGAAAGGCCUCCUUCGGGAGGUACUCGAGCGGCGAACGGGUGAGUAACACGUGGGCAACCAACCCCUCACAUCGGGAUACCCCGGGGAAACUCGGAUCAAUACCGGAUAAUGCGCGACGCUGUUGGGCGUCGCACCAAAGGUAGCUUCGGCCUCUGGUGAGGGACGGGCCCGCGGCCCAUUAGCUUGUUGGUGGGGUAAUGGCCUACCAAGGCAACGAUGGGUAGCUGGUCUGAGAGGAUGAUCAGCCACACUGGGACUGAGAUACGGCCCAGACUCCUACGGGAGGCAGCAGUGGGGAAUAUUGCGCAAUGGGCGGAAGCCUGACGCAGCAACGCCGCGUGCGGGAGAAGGCCUUCGGGUCGUAAACCGCUUUCAGGGGGGACGAAGCCACCAGGGUUAAUAGCCCAUGGGGUGACGGGUACUCCCAGAAGAAGCCCCGGCUAACUACGUGCCAGCAGCCGC